ensembl:lncRNA
GAAAGUAGAAGUUUUCAGACGUGUCACUGCUGGAUGUGAGGAUGGGAGCCACUUUGCUCUGUGAGCUGGGCCUAUUCUGAUAAACAAAGACUACAAAUUAAAAAUGACAUCUACAGGUGACAGUGGUGAAUAUCAGUGCUUUGGUCUCAGGAUGAGCUCACGUGAUACAAAGAAAAGUAAUACUGUCUCUAUAUCUGUAUUAGCAGAUAAACCCAGAGCCACACUGACAGCAGGAACAACAAUCAUACCAGUAGGGGGCAGUGUGACACUGACCUGCUCUGUGCAGAGCUCUGAUGGAUGGAAAUAUGAGUGGUUCACAAACCAAAGAACCUCUGAAUUUCCAAACAGAGAUCAACAAAACAGAGAUAUCAGAGUAUCUCACGGAGGAAUCUACAGCUGCAGAGGAACAAGAGGAAACCCAGAUUACUACACUGAUAUCAGUGAUGAUGUCAUCAUUGAUAUAACCUUUUCCAUUAAAGUUGUUGUAAAACAACAACCCAACUGGCCUCAGUUAUUCAGAGGUGAGAUGAUCACUCUGACAUGUGAGGUGCAGGAAGGAGGUGAAACCACUGGGUGGCUUUCUGAAUGGAGAGGACCCGGGACACCCACACGGUUGAAACUCUAAUUUUUGGACAUUCGGAGUUUCUGAGUCCAGCAGUGGAGACUACAUUUGUAAGAAUCGACGUGACCGAUAUUCUUCAACAGAGUGGAGUGAAGCCAUCACAUUGUCAGUAUCAAAUCAACCAAAGGCUCAAAUAACGUCUGAUAUGAGACACGUUCCAGUAGGGGGCAAUGUGACCCUGAAAUGUUCAGUGAACCCAUCAUCAUAUGGAUGGAAAUACUACUGGUACAGAGAUGAGAACUGGUCUGAACCCCUGACCACACAAGAUGCAGUUUUCCACUCAAAUGGACAAAUCACAGUCUCACAGGAAGGACUCUACAGAUGCAGAGGAGGCAGAGGAGACCCAGUUUACUACACAGAGGACAGUGAGCCCUUCAACAUUGAUAAAAUGCUACGUCCAGUUCUUCAUUUCUUGUUCUGAUGAUCACGGGACUCAUUUCUGGAAUCAUAUUUAUUUUCCUCCUGUUCCUGUUCCUGUACAAAAAGAAAUGUUCUGCUGAUGACCCGAGGGUGAGUCAGGAUGAAAAUCAACAGCAAGUCUACUCCUCUCUUCUUCAUGGUGAGGAUUCUGUCUAUGAAACAAUCAGAGACUCUGGAAAUACUCAAAAUGCUGGGUGAUCUGUGUGAUGUGGGUCCAGUGGGUCCUUCUUGUGGAAACUCAACGAUUCUUUCUAUCCAAAGUGGGCGAACUAUGAGAAGUGACAGUAGUUUGAUCAUCUCCUUUCCUCAUAACUGAAAACUUAUUCUCACUCUCAACCAUCAGACCUUUGUCAGGUCCCAUUCACUCAUAUUUGCCACCAUUCACGGACCAUCAAGUUGCAAACUAUGGGCACAAAUAUACAUUAACCUUUUCGAGUAAAGUAUUUAGUUUUAACGUUUAGCUAAACAUCCGAAAUAUGUUUUAAAAAUGUUUCUCUGAUGUUUUGUUUAUAUAUUAUUUAUGUUUUAAUUUCUCACUAAUGUAAAAAAAAGUCCAUAUCCAAAAAUGACCAUGCAAACGUUAAAUAUAAGUGAGGCAACUCUCUAAAAGGUUCAUUAAUUACAUUACCUGUGUCAGUGUGUGAUUUUAUCCUUAACAUUGUACAAUAAGUUGGUUAGAAAUCAUAUUAAAUAUUAUAAUAUUGACUUAAUAGUGUCUUCUAUUGCAAAUGAGUGUUUCUAUUACAUAUUUAUGCUCUCUAUAAUCAAAACUUUUUUUAUUAAAGCUUUUGUAUAACAUUUCAUGUAACAACAGAAAGUUUAAAAGGUGUUAUAUGUAGUAUUUGUAGUGUCUGAAAAUGUAGCUGUUGCUGUGUUACAGUAGAUACAAUGAGCAUAUUUUUACACAUUAGAUCUUCUACAUUAUCCCC